rnacentral:rRNA from 1 species
CCGGCGACCGGCGCAGGGGGUGAGUACACGGAUGCAACCUGCCCUCCGCAGGGGGAUAACCCGGAGAAAUCCGGACUAAUACCGCGUGGUACAUCUGUGGGGCAUCCCACGGGUGUUAAAAGGAAGCGAUUCCGGCGGAGGAUGGGCAUGCGGCGCAUUAGCUUGUUGGCGGGGUAACGGCCCACCAAGGCGACGAUGCGUAGGGGUUCUGAGAGGAAGGUCCCCCACACUGGUACUGAGACACGGACCAGACUCCUACGGGAGGCAGCAGUGAGGAAUAUUGGUCAAUGGGCGGGAGCCUGAACCAGCCAAGUCGCGUGAGGGAAGACGGUCCUAUGGAUUGUAAACCUCUUUAGGCGGGGAGCAAUGCCGGGCACGCGUGCCCGGAGGGAGAGUACCCGCAGAAUAAGCAUCGGCUAACUCCGUGCCAGCAGCCGCGGUAAUACGGAGGAUGCGAGCGUUAUCCGGAUUUAUUGGGUUUAAAGGGUGCGUAGGCGGAUUUUUAAGUCAGCGGUAAAAUGUCCGGGCUCAACCCGGGCCGGCCGUUGAAACUGGGGAUCUUGAGUGGGCGAGAAGUAUGCGGAAUGCGUGGUGUAGCGGUGAAAUGCAUAGAUAUCACGCAGAACUCCGAUUGCGAAGGCAGCAUACCGGCGCCCGACUGACGCUGAGGCACGAAAGCGUGGGGAUCGAACAGGAUUAGAUACCCUGGUAGUCCACGCAGUAAACGAUGAAUGCUAGUUGUCCGGUUCUUCGUGACUGG